CUACCUCCUCCUCCCGCUCCUCCGACCUCCCUCAAUCAAGUCUUGAUUCAAUGGAAUUUUUCGAAUUCGAAACAUUUUGCAUUUCCAUUUUAUUUUCUGAUUAUUUUGAAAGUAUCUCGCAAAUAUAAAGUGUGUAUACUACCUCUGACACUUAUAUUGCAGAAAACUUCAGCAAGAAAAUGUCAGAUGAUAAAAAUACGCCUAUGGAGACUGAUCGAGCUCCUAAGGACGUAGCAAUUAGUGAGAAUGUAAACACGGCUGAACAAAAUGGGACUCCGCCGCCGCCUGUUACGCCGCCGCCGACAGAAGAAGAGACUCAAGACAUUAUUGUUGUAAACGAGCAUACUGAGGAACUCGAUCUGAACCACGGGAGGAUAGGAAAAAUUGAGAACCUUGAGCGACUUAAAAAAUUAGAAAGGUUAUAUUUGAGGUGGAACCUCAUCAAGAAGAUAGAAGGGCUGGACACAUUGACUACACUGGUGGAACUGGAGCUGUAUGACAAUCAGAUUGUUGUUAUUGAGAAUCUCGACAACCUGGUCAAUCUAGAAAUCCUGGACCUAUCAUUCAACAGAAUAAAAGAGAUAACUGGUCUGCAGAGGCUGCUGAACCUCCGGAAGCUGUACCUCAGCUCCAACAAGAUCAGCGAGAUCAAGAAUAUCAACCAUCUGCCAAAACUGGAAAUGCUUGAGCUUGGUGACAACCGUAUUAGGGAAAUCAAGAAUCUCGAAGGCCUGACGACACUCAAGCAGCUAUAUCUAGGAAAGAACAAAUUAACCAUGAUACAAAACUUAGAUGAUCUGACCAAUCUAGAGAUACUGGUGCUACAAAGUAACAGGUUAACAAAGAUCGAGAACUUGGAAAACUUAACCAAACUUGAGCAGCUAUACAUAUCAGAGAACGGUCUCACUGCCAUAGAGAAUCUGAACAACCAAGUGAACCUUCAGACCCUGGACCUCGCCAAUAACAAGAUCACGGAGAUCGACAACGUCAGACAUAUGAAGGACCUUGAGGAAUUGUGGCUGAACGACAACCAAAUAUCGAACUGGUCGUCGAUAGAAUACCUGCAACAAAACAAGAAAAUCCAGACGAUAUACUUAGAGAGGAACCCGCUAGCUACGGACCCGGCCUACCGUCGGAAACUGAAACUGUUGCUGCCAUCGCUGACGCAGAUCGACGCCACUUUGUGUAGAUAAUUCACUGUUUUAUGUAGAUAGAUGUAGUUUGUUCAUAUGUAGUAUAGUCUGUUUAGUGUUGCCACCUUUUUAUGCCGAAAUUAUAGUAUUUAUUUCCAAAAAUAGCGCUAAAAAUUUAUAUUUUUUGUAUACUUUUUUUUGUAUGAUAUUAUAGUAUAACUAGCGGCUCGCCCCGUCUUCGCUCGGGUAAAACCAUAAUAAAAAGUAGCCUAUGUAACUCCUGAAGGUUUCACCUAUCUCUGUGCCAAAUUUCAUCAAAAUCGGCCCAGUAGUUUUUGAGUUCAUUACAAACAAAAAUACAAAUUUUUCUGUUUAUAAUAUUAGUACGGACUGGCUAAAAUAUAAUAUGAUACUAUAAUGUAUAGUACGGGUGGUAACCCUAAGCCUGUUAUAUAUAGAUCUCCACAAAUUUGAAAAAAUAUUUUUUACACGGAUUUAGUCUCCGGGCCGUAAUAUACAUACCAAAUUCAUUAUUUGUACGUGAUGUAGUUUAUGUUGUUGAUUGUAGUCUUGAAUAUAUAUUUUAAAGUAGUUAUGAUUAGUGCACUAAUAGGUAAUUAUUAAAAAAUAAAUUAUUUUCUAAAAAUUUUGGGACAAAAAUAAUGGUACAAAUUGUAUAAAAUACUAAAUAAUAAUAAUAAUAUGGAAAAAUACUAGAUUUAUUUGAUUGCGAGUUCAUUACACUUUUAUAUGAAAACUAGCAUCCCGUCUCGGCUUCGCUCCGGUGGACCAAUAUCACUUAUAGGUGUAAAAAAAAUUUAUAUAUAUAUAAAUGUCAUCAAAAUCGGUCAAGCCGUUUCGGAGGAGUAUGAUAACUAAAGCUGUGACACGACUUAUUUAUGUACUAUAUUAGAAUUAUGUACAUGUAGCAAUGUCCACAAUAAAAUUGAGUCCAAUAUUACACUUAAAUUAUGUAAUUUUUAUUAAUUAUAUUUUUCUAAGUAUAAUUAUAAUUAUCUAAUGUAUGUUUGUAUUCAUAACGGGUUAACUACGCAUUUAUUAACAUAUGAAAUAUAUACAAAAAUAUUUCCCCAAUAAUAUUGUCUACAUUAUAUUAUACUUAGGAUAUGUAACUUGUUAUUAUAUAAUAAUAUUUAAGCAUAUUUUAUUACUAUAAAAAUAUGUGUUGCCAGUAACCGUCAAAUCUUGUGUAAUAAGUAUUAUAAAAUCUAUAUAUUUAUAAUAUCUAAUAAAAAUACAUAAUUUGGGUUAUAAUCUCAUCUUAAAUGUAACUAAUAGUAUAAGCGCGGAAGUAAGUUUGUUUCUUACCUCUUCACACGCUUUAUCUACUCCACCAAUCUUUUUUAAAUUUUGAGAACGACAUGGUAUUUCUGGAAAAAUAACCGCUCCCGUGGGAAAUUCACGCGGGCGGAGUCGCAGGCAAUAGCUAGUUUAUAUAUAUAUAUAUAAUCAAUGUCCAAUCAAAUAUAGAUUUUGUAUCUCUUUCUAAAACAUGCGAGCUAUUGCUAUUAGUCUUGUAUAUAUAUAGUUGUCUGUUUCAAAAAACAAAAUGUAUGGUUUAAGUGCCUAUACUAACGGUCCAGUACGAUGUACUUUUAUCGGAUUUAGUAGAUUUUGUACACCAGUGUGGUCUCUUGGUCUUGGUAGCGCUUUGAACAUUGCAAUAUUUUGGGUGUAAUUAUUGUGUUGUGCAUUGCAAUUUAUUCAAAUUAAGACCGUAUAGCCUGAGCUUAAAGCAUAAAUUAGCUUGCUAUCUGAACGGGUAACUCCUUCGUAUGACCUAACUCAAAUAAAGGGUACAGCACCGAACGGCUUUCGAAAGCAAACCCAUUCCAAAAACGCCUUCAAAACCCGUGAAAGGGAUAACGGUCCGGUCCCUGGUUCUUACAGCGAGAUAUGGAGUAAAGUUAACACAUGUUGCGACAUAUAAAACUAUGCUAAUUACAAGACUUCGAUCGUAAUAAAUAUUAGCUACACAUUAAUAGUUUAUAUUGUUAUAUAUUAUUAGAAAAAAAAACAUUGUAAGAAACAAUAACGGUAAGCCAAUCUGGCAUGAUAGGGACCAACACUGUUCAAAUGAGUUUCUUUCGGCAUUUCUUCUCAGCAGUGGUCGUUCCGAAAUGCCAGUAGUUUGUAGCUUGUGAGAAAUAACUAUAAAUAUAAAAAUUGACGAGAAAAAGUGCCUGUGAAGGUCUAAUUUCUGAAUAAAUUAUUUGAAUUUGAAUUUAACCCGAUUGCAAUGUUCAAUUAGACAUUAAAAAGUAAGACUUCUAAGGCUUUAAUCGUAUGACUCAAAAACAAACGGUUGAAACACUAAGUCUUUUUUAAAAGCCUUUAGACCAUUUCAUAAUCCACGUGAAAUCAAAUGUAAUCACUACCUAUGAAGUAUUUAUCAUAUUAUUGUAAGACUGUACAAUUGUAGUCGAUCGUAUUUAGAAUAUAAGAAAUAUUUAUAAUAAUAAAAAGUAACUUCUAUAAUGUUGGGUAUUUAAUAGAUCCUUAUUUAUAUUUUCCUUAUCGAAUUACAUCAUGUUAGCUAAUACUUUUGUUUAGCAUAAAUUUGCAUCCUACAGGUAGGUAUUACACAAAAUGGUGUAAUAAUCAACAUACUGAAUUCCGAUGUCUUCCAUCCUAGUCCAUAGCAAAAGAAAACAUAAUGUGCCAGCUGCUUCUCCUGUGUAAAAGUCGAUCAAGGGAAAAGUAACUAUGGAUUUUUGUAAUAGGCGAUUAGGGACCCAUUACUGUUUAAUAUCAAUUCUUGAAAUAAUCGCCUUACAUCUAAAAGUGACUUUCGACUUGAAAUUUGCGUCUCUGUUUACCCCGUUAGGAAUAAAGACGCGAAACUGUAUAUGUAUCCGAACUAAACGCAGUCACGGCGUCAGCAGAAACCCUUCCGCCAUGCAGGGCUGUUCCCGGCGGCCCGACUAGGAGUGUUUUGGUCAAGCCGCAUAUG